rnacentral:RNase_P_RNA from 1 species
UAAGCUGAUUAGAUGAUCGCUUCACUUUGUGGAGAGGAAAGUCCGGGCAGCAUUGAAGCUAGGUUGCUGGUUAAGAGCCAGUGGGAGUGAUCCCGAGGAAAGUGCCACAGAAAAAUACCGCUCUGUGACUUCUCUAAGCUUCAAGUUCAAGGCUUGCGUAGCGCAGAAAUUGGAGUUUAGAGAGGUCACAGAGUAAGGGUGCAAAGGUAGGGUAAGAGCCUACCAGAUAGAUUGAGAAGUCUAUGCUAGGUAAACCCCGCCGAAGCUGCAAGGUCCAGAUCUAUUGCUUUUUGCAAGGCUUCAUUAGCAAGAAGAAAGAUCUCAAUCCCGCAUGAGGCCAUGAGCAAUCAUGGUCCCAGAUAGAUGAUCAUCACUCGUAAGAGACAGAACCCGGCUUAUUAUCAGCUUAUUGC